UACGUAGGGCGCAAGCGUUGUCCGGAAUUAUUGGGCGUAAAGAGCUCGUAGGCGGCUUGUCACGUCGGAUGUGAAAGCCCGGGGCUUAACCCCGGGUCUGCAUUCGAUACGGGCAGGCUAGAGUUCGGUAGGGGAGAUCGGAAUUCCUGGUGUAGCGGUGAAAUGCGCAGAUAUCAGGAGGAACACCUGUGGCGAAGGCGGUUCUCUGGGCCUUACCUGACGCUGAGGAGCGAAAGCGUGGGGAGCGAACAGG
rnacentral:rRNA from 1 species